CUACGGCGCAGCAGUGGGGAAUAUUGCACAAUGGGCGCAAGCCUGAUGCAGCCAUGCCGCGUGUAUGAAGAAGGCCUCCGGUUUUUAAAGUACUUUCAGCGGGGAGGAAGGGAGUAAAGUUAAUACCUUUGCUCAUUGACGUUACCCGCAGAAGAAGCACCGGCUAACUCCGUGCCAGCAGCCGCGGUAAGACGGAGGGUGAAAGCGUUAAUCGGAAUUACUGGGCGUAAAGCGCACGCAGGCGGUUUGUUAAGUCAGAUGUGAAAUCCCCGGGCUCAACCUGGGAACUGCAUCUGAUACUGGCAAGCUUGAGUCUCGUAGAGGGGGGUAGAAUUCCAGGUGUAGCGGUGAAAUGCGUAGAGAUCUGGAGGAAUACCGGUGGCGAAGGCGGCCCCCUGGACGAAGACUGACGCUCAGGUGCGAAAGCGUGGGGAGCAAACAGGAUUAGAUACCCGCGUAGUC
rnacentral:rRNA from 1 species